rnacentral:rRNA from 1 species
UACGUAGGGCGCAAGCGUUGUCCGGAAUUAUUGGGCGUAAAGCGCGCGCAGGCGGCUUACUAAGUCUGGUGUGAAAGCCCACGGCUCAACCGUGGAGGGCCAUUGGAAACUGGUAAGCUUGAGUGCAGGAGAGGAGAGCGGAAUUCCUGGUGUAGCGGUGAAAUGCGUAGAUAUCAGGAGGAACACCAGUGGCGAAGGCGGCUUCCUGGACCUGUUCUGACGCUGAGGAGCGAAAGCGUGGGGAGCGAUCCGG